GCAACGAGCGCAACCCUCGUCGCUGUUAAAUUUUCUAGCGAUACUGCCCGUAAAACGAGGAGGAAGGUGGGGAUGACGGUCAAGUCAGCAUGGCCCUUACGCCUUGGGCUACACACACGCUACAAUGGGUGAUACAACAGGUUGCGAAAGAGCGAUCUGGAGCUAAUCCCUAAAAUCAUCCUCAGUUCGGAUUGCAGGCUGAAACUGCCUGCAUGAAGUUGGAGUUGCUAGUAACCGCAGGUCAGCACACUGCGGUGAAUACGUUCUCGGGCCUU
rnacentral:rRNA from 1 species